rnacentral:sRNA from 1 species
AAUGUGAAUGCGACAAGUUCCCGAUCCAGGCGUCCCGCUCUCCCCGGCCCCACUCGCCAGGUCCUACCACGAUGCCUGACUCGUUUGCGGCUUUGGGACCGGUUGUAGGUGGCUUGACCGUCACUAGUAGACGUUUCUGAGUGUGUCGCGGUCACCAUGGGGAGGUUCCCUGCUCAAGCUCUCUUCUCUUGUCUGCCGCCAUGUGAGACGUGCCUUUGACCUUCUGCCAUGAUUGUGAGGCCUCCCCAGCCACGUGAAACUGAGUGAACACGAAAUAGCAGUCACCAGAUUUACCAUGCAGUACUUGGAGGCUCAGCAAGCCUAAGGAGGACAGGGGCAUACAACGCGAGUCAGAAGGGACAGCAUGAUAAACACUUCCAGACCAGCAGGUCCAGCAGGCUCGCCCCAAGCCACUCCUCCUCCGAGAAGCCCUGCUGGAUUGCCUGCAUCGUCCUCUUGCACAGUCCCCACUGCCACCUCCCCCCUGUGCCACACAGAUUCCUGUUGUAGUUUAACUGCCUGUUACUUUUCCAUCUCCCCACCUCCACUAGACUGUGAGUUGAUGUGAGGGUGUGAGCUUGUCAGAU